rnacentral:rRNA from 1 species
GGUAAAAAAGCUCGUAGUUGGAUUUCUGUUGAGGACAACCGGUCCAUACCAUGUAUGCGCAUCUGGCUUGGCCUCGGCAUCCUCUCGAUGGAUGUUUCUGCGCUUGACUGCGUGGAGCGGAUCUCGGGACUUUUACUUUGAGGAAAUUAGAGUGUUCACGGCAGGCUAUCGCCAGAAUACAUUAGCAUGGAAUAAUACUAUAGGACCUUGGUUCUAUUUUGUUGGUUUCUAGAAUUGAGGUAAUGAUUAAUAGGGAUAAUUGGGGGCAUUUGUAUUAACGCGUCAGAGGUGGAAUUCUUGGAUUGCGUCACGACAAACUACUGCGAAAGCAUUUGCCUAGGAUGUUUUCAUUGAUCAAGAACGAAAGUAUGGGGAUCGAAGAUGAUUAGAUACCGUCGUAGUCUAUACCAUAAACUAUGCCGACUAGGGAUUGGAGGUCGUUCUUUUUAUGACUCCUUCAGCACCUUAUGAGAAAUCAAAGUCUUUGGGUUCCGGGGGGAGUAUAGUCGCAAGGCUGAAACUUAAAGGAAUUGACGGAAGGGCACCACCAGGAGUGGAGCCUGCGGCUUAAUUUGACUCAACACGGGGAAACUCACCAGGUCCAGACAUAGUAAGGAUUGACAGAUUGAUAGCUCUU